rnacentral:rRNA from 1 species
GUGCCUUCGGGAACCGUGAGACAGGUGCUGCAUGGCUGUCGUCAGCUCGUGUUGUGAAAUGUUGGGUUAAGUCCCGCAACGAGCGCAACCCUUAUCCUUUGUUGCCAGCGGUCCGGCCGGGAACUCAAAGGAGACUGCCAGUGAUAAACUGGAGGAAGGUGGGGAUGACGUCAAGUCAUCAUGGCCCUUACGACCAGGGCUACACACGUGCUACAAUGGCGCAUACAAAGAGAAGCGACCUCGCGAGAGCAAGCGGACCUCAUAAAGUGCGUCGUAGUCCGGAUUGGAGUCUGCAACUCGACUCCAUGAAGUCGGAAUCGCUAGUAAUCGUGGAUCAGAAUGCCACGGUGAAUACGUUCCCGGGCCUUGUACACACCGCCCGUCACACCAUGGGAGUGGGUUGCAAAAGAAGUAGGUAGCUUAACCUUCGGGAGGGCGCUUACCACUUUGUGAUUCAUGACUGGGGUGAAGUCGUAACAAGGUAACCGUAGGGGAACCUGCGGUUGGAUCACCUCCUUA